AUUCUCCGGUUCUCGUUAGAUCACCGAAGUCAAGCAUCAUUGGGCGCGGUCAGUACUUGGGAGGGUGACCACCUGGGAACACCGCGUGCCGUU
rnacentral:rRNA from 1 species